AGGCAGCAGUUAGGAAUCUUCCGCAAUGGGCGAAAGCCUGACGGAGCGAUACCGCUUGAAGGACGAAGCCCUUCGGGGUGUAAACUUCUGAACUCGGGACGAUAAUGACGGUACCGAGGUAAUAGCACCGGCUAACUCCGUGCCAGCAGCCGCGGUAAUACGGAGGGUGCGAGCGUUACCCGGAUUUACUGGGUGUAAAGGGCGUGUAGGCGGUCUCUCAAGUCCGAUGCUAAAGACCGAAGCUCAACUUCGGGGGUGCGUUGGAUACUGUGAGGCUAGACGGUCGGAGAGGGUAGCGGAAUUUCCGGAGUAGCGGUGAAAUGCGCAGAUACCGGAAGGAACGCCAAUAGCGAAAGCAGCUACCUGGACGAUUUGUGACGCUGAGGCGCGAAAGCGUGGGGAGCAAACCGGAUUAGAUACCCCAGUAGUCC
rnacentral:rRNA from 1 species